rnacentral:SRP_RNA from 2 species
GCCAGGUGUGGUGGCUCACGCCUGUAAUCCCAGCAUUUUGGGAGGCUGAGGCGGGUGGAUCACCUGAGGUCAGGAGUUCGAGACCAGCCUGACCAACAUGGUGAAACCCUGUCUCUA